rnacentral:tRNA from 1 species
GCUUUCGUGGUGUAGCGGUCAGCACGCUCGACGCGCAUUCGAGAGGUCCGUGGUUCGAGUCCACGCGGGGGCA